GACGAACGCUGGCGGCGUGCUUAACACAUGCAAGUCGAACGGAAAGGCCCUGCUUUUGUGGGGUGCUCGAGUGGCGAACGGGUGAGUAACACGUGAGUAACCUGCCCUUGACUUUGGGAUAACUUCAGGAAACUGGGGCUAAUACCGGAUAGGAGCUCCUGCUGCAUGGUGGGGGUUGGAAAGUUUCGGCGGUUGGGGAUGGACUCGCGGCUUAUCAGCUUGUUGGUGGGGUAGUGGCUUACCAAGGCUUUGACGGGUAGCCGGCCUGAGAGGGUGACCGGCCACAUGGGGACUGGGAUACGGCCCAGACUCCAACGGGGGGCAGGGGUGGGGAAUAUUGCACAAGGGGCGGAGGCCUGAUGCAGCAACGCCGGGGGGGGGAGGACGGCCUUCGGGUUGUAAACCCCUUUCGCCUGGAACGAAGCGGGGGGGCGGGAAAUGGGGAAAGAAGCACCGGCUAACUCCGG
rnacentral:rRNA from 1 species